GGGGGAAAGAUUUAUCGGGGUAUGAUGAGCCCGCGUUGGAUUAGCUAGUUGGUGGGGUAAAGGCCUACCAAGGCGACGAUCCAUAGCUGGUCUGAAAGGAUGAUCAGCCACAUUGGGACUGAGACACGGCCCAAACUCCUACGGGAGGCAGCAGUAAGGAAUAUUGGUCAAUGGGCGCAAGCCUGAACCAGCCAUGCCGCGUGCAGGAAGACGGCCCUACGGGUUGUAAACUGCUUUUGUACCGGAAUAAACCUUUGGUCGUGACCGAAGCUGAAUGUACGGUAAGAAUAAGGAUCGGCUAACUCCGUGCCAGCAGCCGCGGUAAUACGGAGGAUCCAAGCGUUAUCCGGAUUUAUUGGGUUUAAAGGGUGCGUAGGCGGCCUAUUAAGUCAGGGGUGAAAGACGGUGGCUCAACCAUCGCAGUGCCCUUGAUACUGAUGAGCUUGAAUACACUAGAGGUAGGCGGAAUGUGACAAGUAGCGGUGAAAUGCAUAGAUAUGUCACAGAACACCGAUUGCGAAGGCAGCUUACUAUGGUGUUAUUGACGCUGAGGCACGAAAGCGUGGGGAUCAAACAGGAUUAGAUACCCUGGUAGUCCACGCCCUAAACGAUGAAUACUCGCUGUUAGCGAUAUACAGUUAGCGGCUAGGCGAAAGCGUUAAGUAUUCCACCUGGGGA
rnacentral:rRNA from 1 species